rnacentral:rRNA from 1 species
GUGAGGAAUAUUGGUCAAUGGCCGCAGGGCUGAACCAGCCAAGUCGCGUGAGGGAUGACGGUCCUAUGGAUUGUAAACCUCUUUUGUCAGGGAGCAAAGGGCGCCACGUGUGGCGUUUUGCGAGUACCUGAAGAAAAAGCAUCGGCUAACUCCGUGCCAGCAGCCGCGGUAAUACGGAGGAUGCGAGCGUUAUCCGGAUUUAUUGGGUUUAAAGGGUGCGCAGGCGGAAUGUCAAGUCAGCGGUAAAAUUUCGGGGCUCAACCCCGUCGUGCCGUUGAAACUGGCGUUCUUGAGUGAGCGAGAAGUAUGCGGAAUGCGUGGUGUAGCGGUGAAAUGCAUAGAUAUCACGCAGAACUCCGAUUGCGAAGGCAGCAUACCGGCGCUCAACUGACGCUCAUGCACGAAAGCGUGGGUAUCGAACAGG